rnacentral:lncRNA from 1 species
UUUAAUGUUUUUCGAUAUUAGGUUUUAUAAUAUGUAGGCCGAUUGGCCAAAAUAUAUAAUAAUUUAAUGAUUUUUAGUAUGUUUUUCUUUGUCGUCUGAUUUAUCGUCUUAUGGUUUGCAAACUUUAAGCUUCCGCAUGACACCCUCUCGAUUUCGAACCCAACAAGUGGUAUCAGAGCCCACGGUUCAAUAAAUUGAUGGUCCAAUUGUUGAACAAAGUUGCAAUCAAUUUGGAUGAUAAUGAAGAUUUUUGUCGAACUACAUGUGGAGAACAAGUUUCAACCAUAUUUUCAACACUCCUCCUGCUGCAUCUUUAAAAAUAUUAAUAAAAUAUUACUUUUAAACCAAUUUUUAAUCAUGAUAUUUUAAACCUUAUUUUUAACCAUGACAAGCAGCAGUUAUGAAGAUUAUAUCAAGAACGAAGUUCAUGCACAUGAUAUGAAGAGAAGACGGAUCAAUUGAAGAAAAUCAAG